GUAAAAAAAACGACAAAUGCAGUGAUCGUAUAAGAACGAUAGAAAAGGUUUUCGAGAUGUUCAGUCUGAAAGUUCAUUUGUGCCGAGAAACAACAUCACGUCUACUGCGCACGUGAAGGAAAUAUAGGAAUUGAAUCGCCUCUGGCUAUGGUUAUUUUUUUAUUGGUUUCGCCAAUAAUUUUGUGCUCUUUUUGUUGAUUUUCAAUCUCAACGCGAUGACUGUCCCAAUUUAUUUGAUAACGGGACUACUUCUCACGUCAUGGAUCUCUCAUAUCGUCAUUCCGACUCACGCUGCUCCUAAUUCUUUACGUAGCCCUCAGCAAUUGAACUUGCCCGCUGUGCCUAAAGAACUUAUUAAAGAUAGUUGGCGCACAGACAAAAGUGUCGAUAAAACGUCAGUUCGCAAAUCAACUGAAGGCGCCAAAUUCAAAGAAAAAGAGUUGCGACUUAUUGAAUCAGUGAUCGGCAUCGGCAUCGACAAGCUUGCCGAUGUACUGACAGGAGUUUCCAAUGUUUUGAACUCCAGAUCUAAUAUUGAUGCCGUUGACAAAUUCAUGGCAGCUUUUAACUCACUUUUCAACUCAACAGGAGGGAAUAAUGUAUUUGUUUAUUACUACAUUUUUUCCAACUUUUGGGUCGUUUUCGACGCCGCUGCAAUGAUAUUUCGAGUGUGGGAAGAUCGAUUCAAAGAAAGGGAAUCCAACGUCGAGGCCCUACAAACUCAACAAGAAUCCGAUAGUCAAAUUUUAGAGACGUUGGAAGCUCUGAGUGAAGUCAAUGCUAGGCUGGCUGUAUUAAAAGACAGUCUGAACAGUUUAGUACGUCGUAAAGACAUUCAAAGAAAGGGACUUGCUGCACUGAAACAAGGUUUUGAGAAGAAAACAAUUUACUUACACUCGGGACUUGAUGUGAUAGACGACGACAGCGUUGAUGAAGAGGAUGAAGAGAAAGAAGAUGAAGACGAGGGACCGAUGGAUGAAGAUGGAACGGAAGACGCAAAUUCCUCACAGGAAGAUACUGGUACUCUAAGUGACAACAGACAGGACACGAAUCAAAGUAUUUUAGUCAAUCAGGAAUUUGGUGAAAAUGAUAUCCCGGAAUAAACACAAACUUUACUUACUACUUACCUUGUGGACAAAUUUGUAAUGGUGUCAGCUAUUUAUUGUAAAAACGAAAAUUUAUCUAACGCUGAAUGUUCUUAAAUGCCGUGUUUUAUUUAUUAUGUAAUUGCGCGAAAUAUUUUUUAUUUAUUUCAGUGUUUGUUGUUUGAAUAACCCAAAUUGCCAAUAAAUGAUUGCAACACCAUUUAUUUAGAGAAGAAAGAAGUUUGCUGCCAUCUAGGAAUAAAUAAAAAAACAAGAAGGGAAAAUCAAUGCUUUAAGAAUUUCCCACCAGAGAGACUUACAAACGGAACUAGAAAGUCGAAACUCGAAUGUGGGAAAAUCGCUAAUCAGCAAGUCAGCAAGCAACUCACGCAGUUGGCAGAAUGUGCUUAAAAAUAAACAGUUAAGCAACGGCUGAACGACAGCUGCCUACGCAGAACAGUGUUGGGAAUUCUUCAGCCUUUGUGUUAGAUAAUUCUCAUAAGGAGUACACAAAUCAAAUCUGUUCGCAAAAAGUUUUCUGUUGUCAGUUUGUGUUAUCCAUUAGCAGCCUAUCCGUUCCCUAUCCACGUGGUUGAGAGAAAGCGAACAAGUCAGGGAAAUGUUAUAAACAGCUUAGUAUUCCCUUGUAACUAUCGGCGCAGAAGUGAGGCAAUGGUUGUGUCACCUGCCUUGGUUGAUAUGCAAUCUUGCCAUGCUGAAAAAGAGUGAGUGAUAUUACAAGACAAUUUUGAACUAUGUGUCUUUAUCGGGCCAAGUACCUAAUGAAGUAAACUCAAACGUUCAGUGUCUAUGUCAGGAAAAGCAGUCACAUCAAUUUGAACAGCAGUUGCUUGCAGUUGGGACCAAGACGAAAUGUGAAAAGGUCCUUUGUCAAGAGACAUUAUCAGUUAGGAGUAGUUGGCUCUCAUAGCCUUUGGACAAAAGAACAUAGAGGCAACAAAAGAUUAUUUCAGAUGGAGGAAUCUGAACCCAAAGUAGAGCCUGAAGAACAGCCAACCGGUGACGAGUUUGAUCGAAGUGGCGUUAAAAAUUAAAGAAAGAAGAAGAAGAAGAAGUCUUUGAAACACAACAGUCGCCGGUGAAAACCUUCACUUCAAACUACUCCGCAACCAACUCGUCACACUAUCUUCUGAGUGAAAAAUAUAUUGAAGCCAAUAAUAUGAACAUACACAUUUGGGGAAAACCCGAGAAAUCGUGAACCAUUAUACAGAAAACCAUUCGUGACACUUAUGACAGGAAGCAAAAUUGUGUUCAUAGUAAUGCUAAUGUCAUAGUGCGGUCAACAUCAGCUUAGCUAUAAGCAAUACGCGCACCUAAUAUAUAGGCCCGUGUAGUGUUUAAGGUAGGAUUGCAGGUAUAUAUAAAAGAAUGAGAAUUAAAAAAAAGGAAGUACACAUUGCAUGACCUAACGUGAACGUAUUACAUAUAAACAAGUUAGUCAAGACAGCGUAGCUGGAGACCAGAGCGAGGGUUCAUGUUGACGUUUUUACAGUCCUUAUAAAGUCGGAUUAAAUUCUCGUAUGGGUUGCAAUAUGCAGUAUAUACGUACAUUAAACAAACUUUUGGUUUUUAGUAAUAAACCCUCUUACCCUUAGUCGUGUACAGCAAUACUGUGUGUGUAACAACUGAUGAUUUUAAUGACUCGUCUGGCCUAGUUAGAAACAAUAAUAAUGAACGAAUCAGAGCUCUCGAUUUUAUCAUCACUAGUCGUUGGGUGAGUUCUUUGCUGUGGUUGCUUUGAUGCAUGUAAUUCAAGAAAAACAUUCUGAACAUAUAUUUGAAGCAACCCAACCAGGUAGUCGGCUUUUAUAUAGCUGCAGGGUAAAAAAAAAACGACAUAUGCAGUGAUCGUAUAAGAACGAUAGAAAAGGUUUUCGAGAUGUUCAGUCUGAAAGGUCAUUUGUGCCGAGAAACAACAUCACGUCUACUGCGCACGUGAAGGAAAUAUAGGAAUUAAAUCGCCUCUGGCUAUGGUUAUUUUUGUAUUGGUUUCGCCAAUAAUUUUGCGCUCUUUUUGUUGAUUUUCAAUCUCAACGCGAUGACUGUCCCAAUUUAUUUGAUAACGGGACUACUUCUCACGUCAUGGAUCUCUCAUAUCGUCAUUCCGACUCACGCUGCUCCUAAUUCUUUACGUAGCCCUCAGCAAUUGAACUUGCCCGCUGUGCCUAAAGAACUUCUCAAAGAUAGCUGGAGCGCAGACAAAAAUGUCGAUAAAGUGUCAAUUCGCAAAUCGCAGUCAGGUGCCAAAUUGGAAGAAAAAGAGUUGCGACUUAUUGAAUCGGUGAUCGGCAUUGGCAUCGACAAGCUUGCCGAUGUACUGACAGGAGUUUCCAAUGUUUUAAACUCCAGAUCUAAUAUUGAUGCCGUUGACAAAUUCAUGGCAGCUUUUACCUCACUUUUCACCUCAAAAGGAGGAAAUAAUUUAUAUGUUUAUUACCUCCUUUUUUCCAACUUUUGGGUUGUUUUCGACGCCGCGAUAAUGAUAUUUCGAGUGUGGGAAGAUCGAUUCAGAGAGAGGCAAUCCAACGUCGAGGCCCUACAAACUCAACAAGAAUCCGACAGUCAAAUUUUAGAGACGUUGGAAGCUCUGAGUGAAGUCAAUGCUAGACUGGCUGUAUUAAAAGACAGUCUGAACAGUUUAGUACGUCGUAAAGACAUUCAAAGAAAGGGACUUGCUGCACUGAAACAAGGUUUUGAGAAGAAAACAAUUUACUUACACUCGGGACUUGAUGUGAUGGACGCCGACAGUGUUGAUGAAGAGAAUGAAGAGGAAGAAGAUGAAGACGAGGGACCGAUGGAUGAAGAUGGAACGGAAGACGCAAAUUCCUCACAGGAAGAUACUGGUACUCUAAGUGACAACAGACAGGACACGAAUCAUAGAAUUUUAGUCAAUCAGGAAUUUGGUGAAAAUGAUAUCCCGGAAUAAACACAAACUUUACUUACUACUUACCUUGUGGACAAAUUUGUAAUGGUGUCAACUAUUUAUUAUAAAAACGAAAAUUUAUCUAUCGCUGAAUGUUCUUAAAUGCCGUGUUUUAUUUAUUAUGUAAUUGCGCGAAAUAUUUUUUAUUUAUGUAAGUGUAUGAAUGAGAAUGACCCACAUUGCUAAUAAAUGAUUGCAAAACCAUUCAUUUAGAGAAGAAAGAAGUUUGCUGCCAUCUAGGAAUAAAUAAAAAAACAAGAAGGGAAAAUCAAGGCUUUAAGAAUUUGCCACCAGAGGGACUCGCAGACGGCAAAUUCGUCUGCACUCUGCAGUCGGAAUUCGGAACUCGAAAUUAGUACAACAGGCAAGCAACAAUGCAACAGCAACUCAGAAUUGGCUUAAGCAGUCAAUCAUAUAGUGUUGAAAAUGUUUCAGCCCUUGUGUUAGAUAAUUCUAUUUAUUAAGGACUACAAAAAUGAAGUCCUUGUCGCCGAAAUAAAUUUUCUUUUAUCAGUUUGUGUUAUCCAAUGGUGUCCAUUCCCCAUACACGUGGUUUAGACGCAGAAGUGCGACAAUGGGUUUAUCACCUGCAUUGGAUAUGUAAUCUCGCCAUGCAGAAAAAGAGUGAGUGAUACAAGACAAUUUUGAACUAUUUUGUCGUUAUCAGGACAAGUACCUAAUGAAGUAAACUAAAAAGUCUAUAUCAGGAUCAGCAGCCACAUUAUCAAUUUGAACAGCAGUUGCUUGCAGUUGGGUGCAAGAUGAAAUGUGAAAAGGUCCUUUGUCAAGAGCCAGAGUCGGGUGGAUCCCAUAGCCUUUGGACAAAAGAACAUAGAAGCAACAACAAAUUAUUUCAGACAGAGGAAUCUGAACCCAAAGUAGAGCCUGAGGAACAGCCAACAAUAUUUAAUCUACACUCCUUGAGACUGGCAUAUAAUGGUGGUGUCCACUUAUGUUUCUGUAGGAGUCACUGUCAAGGAAGAAAGCAGACUUGGCAGUUGGCACCCCUCUCCAAAUUCCAAAUUCCCAUUAGCAGCUGACAACAUUUUCAAGUUGGUCAUGAAUGGCCAGUGCAAGAGCCACCAGCAGACUAACAAGUUAGUAGUAAUACGUCUUUGCUCAACAAGACCCGAUCGUUAGAGGAGAGCCACCGCAAAUUGUAAAUGUCGCGCAAGUUCUCCAUUAUUGGUUGUCUGGCGAGUUAAAAUGAUCGUGCAGUACAUGUGGCAACCACACCACCAUGCUGCAGACAGUUAGUUCUACUCUCCGUUGCCUGCCAUUUCAUGGAUCUUAAUUGGACCAAGAUUAUUUGACGAUCGUCAAGCCGUCAGUGAAAGCGACUAUACCAACCAUGUUAUCUCAAUCAUGGUUGCUUGCAUCUGCCCCAUUGUUUUACAAUUGAAUGUGAGGAGCGAAAAUGGUGAACAAGAAAGGAAGAAGAAUUAAGAAUUAGAAGGUGCAUCAACUACAUACUGCGCAUUGCACCAAAGGCAUCAAACAGAAAAAUUCCGUCGUCACGGUCAAUGGAGUUGUCAUCUUGUUGGUGCAGAAUCAUUUAGGUGAUUCCCUUAUGCCUCAAUCAACUAGCUUUCUUCAAGAACAGCUCGGGAGCGGAUGCUGGCUCGUGACAAUCAGCCAAGAAGCAACAACAAACAAAUAAAGAAAAUGUUGACGUGUUUGCGUGAGCAGGAGAAAACGAAAAGCAAAGUGCAGCUCUCGUGACAGACUGGUUAUUAAUUUGAUGCUGUUGGCCGCCGCCCAAAUCGUUUUAGACAUAUGAUACGACACCGUGGUUAAUUCCUAGAUAUCCAGUUAUCCACACACUGCUUUUGAAAACUAACAUUUGAUUUAUUCGACAUUUUUUUAAGGAUCCGAAAGAGAAUCCAUAGUUUCAAGAACUGGCCGGAUGUCAAGUCUUGCAUCAACUUCGCAGCUUGUAAAGAACUGGCGGCCCUUUCAUCAAUAAUGGCUAAGAAACACUUCAGUGAAGAAGUCUUCAUCUUCACGCUCAAUAGGUGCGACGCGGACCGCCGACGUGAGUUGCUGAUUUUGCUACUUUUUAGUGACCAGUGUCCACUGCAGACAAACUUCCGCCUGCGAAGUCCCUCUGCUGACAGCACAAGAACUUCAUGGUACGAGUACGUUGGAAGCAACGGGGACAUCUGGCAGGAAGAAGGCGAACACUCAGACGUACCAUGAACCCAUGACUAAUUUUUUAAAAAUCUUUACGGUUUGCGGUUUACGUAUCAACAAUAAUAAUAUACUAUUACUUAUUCUAGAUCGAAUGUGCCUUGAAUGCUUCGAUAAUGUUUUCAAUUAGAUAAAACAAGGGAUUAUUUCUAUUGAGAAAGGUUACUAUAAAUGUUGAAAGCUUUAAACUUUUAAA